rnacentral:rRNA from 1 species
UACGUAGGGUGCGAGCGUUAAUCGGAAUUACUGGGCGUAAAGCGUGCGCAGGCGGUCUGUUAAGACCGAUGUGAAAUCCCCGGGCUUAACCUGGGAACUGCGUCUGAGACUGGCAAGCUUGAGUGCAGGAGAGGAAUGCGGAAUUCCAGGUGUAGCGGUGAAAUGCGUAGAUAUCUGGAGGAACACCGGUGGCGAAGGCGGCGUUCUGGACUGCAACUGACACUGAGGAACGAAAGCCAGGGGAGCAAACGGG